rnacentral:tRNA from 1 species
GCCUGGUUGGCUCAGUUGGUUCAGCGUUCGACUUCGGCUCAGGUCAUGAUCUCAUGGUCCGUGAGUUCGAGCCCCGCAUCAGGCU